rnacentral:rRNA from 1 species
CCUACGGGAGGCAGCAGUGGGGAAUAUUGCACAAUGGGGGAAACCCUGAUGCAGCGACGCCGCGUGAGUGAAGAAGUAAUUCGUUAUGUAAAGCUCUAUCAGCAGGGAAGAAAAUGACGGUACCUGAGUAAGAAGCCUCGGCUAACUACGUGCCAGCAGCCGCGGUACUACGUAGGGGGCAAGCGUUAUCCGGAUUUACUGGGUGUAAAGGGAGCUUAGACGGAAGUGCAAGUCUGGAGUGAAAGGCGGGGGCUCAACCCCCGGACUGCUCUGGAAACUGGACGGCUGGAGUGCAGGAGAGGUAAGUGGAAUUCGUAGUGUAGCGGUGAAAUGCGUAGAUAUUAGGAGGAACACCAGUGGCGAAGGCGGCUUACUGGACUGUAACUGACGUUGAGGCUCGAAAGCGUGGGGAGCAAACAGGAUUAGAUACCCCAGUAGUC